GGAUUGACCAACCCUAUCCACCAAUCCCCCGUCCGCCUCCUCCUCCCCUGCUCGCUCGCCCCGCGUGCGGUCGCCCCCACUCACGGCGAUGAGCGGGCAAGGCCGCGUGAGCCGAUGGGCCAUUGCAGUCGCCGCCGGGAGCGGCUGCCUCCUCUUCCCUUCCGGUCCCCCGGUUCCUCCUCCGCCGCCGUCGCCGCUCUCCACUGGCUGGUGAGCUUCACCCCUCCCCUCCUCUCCUUUCCCCCACAAUAUCCACCUCCUGCCCCCAUCCUUCGCGCCCGAGAAGCCGUGGCCGUCGCUUCAUCGAGGGAACGGCGUGCCGGAUCCGGCGUCCCCGUUCCAUGUCGGCCACCGUCCUCUUACCACCCGCCUCCCGCUUCCCGACCCAUCCCCGUCUCUCGACGCGGCGCAGGUAGGAGCUGGCUGUUCAAGUGUCCAUUGACGGCGGCGAGCCCGAGCCGGCGACGUAGAUCUUACCGGUGGACUGCCGGUCGUCGACGCGUUGCCUCGGACUCCCACAGACGCAGCAGCAGCCGCAGCAGAGGAUGGCCACCGAGGGGAGAAAUAUUGCAAUUUAUGGUGAGACUGCUGAUGGUUUGGAGGAUGACGGCAGCCUGGAGCAGGAGCGUUUACUCGCUGUGCCUAUGGUAGUGGCGGCGACGAUGGCGCGUAUGGUAGUGGCGGCGACGAUGGCGCGUAUGGUAGUGGCGGCGGCCAGGACGUGCCCUCGGCGAUCUCGACAUCCAAGUCAAGGAUUGGCGGCGCAAGAACGAUGGCGCUGCAGGGGAUCGAACCAGAGGAAUGUGAUCCAUCCUGUCAAGAUCGGUUUCUGCGUGUGGGUCUGACGAAACACCAUCAAGAGAUAGCUGAAUGUUUCAACCAAAGGGGUGUGUCUUUAAUUUUCCUUUUAAGAAGAAAGAAAACUUCUGCAGCAAAAUACCAGGAAACUAAAUGGAACUCAUAAAGCUCAGGAGCAUAAUGGACGCCAGGUGAGUUGAGCUGCGGCUUGGAUGGGGAUGUUGGUGCUGUUCAAGAGGCCUGCUGGGUUUGCCUUUUUCAAGGUUCUGAACCAGGGCAGGAUCUAUGGAAGAAGUUCACGACUCGGACUCGACGAGAAAGGUUUGUGCUUCAUCUUUUUUUUUGAUGGCAAAAUAACUUCUCUUUAUGAAACAAUCAGUACUUCAUAUAUCUAUUAUAACAGAGUAAGUCAACAAAAGCCCUUUUAUUUGAAUGAACAAGAAUCCGUUGUGUGCUGCUGAGCUAUGUGCCCCUUUUCCAAAUGUUAUAAAUGUUAUCUUAACUUAGUUGUCACAUAGAAGUUGGUUUGGGCUACUGGGCUCAUUUGAUGUUUGCAUGACUUAUUUGAACCCGAUGCCAGCCUCACCGGCAUCCUGAGGCGACAGAGCGACGGCCGCGCUCGACACCCUCUUUCGCAACUCGACGACAGCCUAGCGUCAUAGGCGACCCAUUUGGGUGGGCGACAACGACCGCAGCUGGUGCACGCGCUCACACUCAACCCGUCCAUACUCAACUCUUCCUCUCGGGUGCGGACUGAGAAUUGGAUGCUCUGUGCCAGCAUAUGGAAGUGUUGUGACCACUGUUGUUCCGGAUGUGAGAUUUGUAAGUUUUUUGCUUGGGAGCCAUCUAUUUAGCCAUGUUGGAGUAGGCUAUAUGAUUUUUUCAGUUUUGACCACGUAUGCUUCUUCCUUGGUCUGUUCACCAAGUCAUGGACACCGACUCAAAAAAUGAACAAGGUUACCCCUUCAGCUGCAGGUGCAGGUAAAUCAUCUUGCAAUACCCAUGGUGCCACACGUGUUUUAUUCACCAAUCCUGUCAAGAGAAAUCAAAAUCAAGACGCCAAUCAGCUUAGCCUUGGGCUGCUCCUUUUCUGCCUUUUGUUUCCUGUAUACACUCAUCUUUCUUUGAUGGACCUGAAUUUCUUUUUGUUGUGUUAGGUUGACGGUGACACUGCAGAUGUAGCUUCUCUGACCGCUACCGAAGACACCGCUGAACAGCUUAAUCAGACAAAGACAAAGUGCUGUUAUGUAGGCAUGGUUUAAAAACUAGAGCCUUUGGCUGGUCAAGUACCCUUGCCAAAGCGUUCGUGUAAUCUCUUCAAGUUGUAUGAAGCAAAUUCUAUGUAUGUAACACCCAGGAAGAAUAUUAUAAUAAUUAUAUAGAAGCAGAGAAUCAACCUUGCUAGAGCGUUUGUCAAAUAUCUACUCGAGUAGCCUUGCCAAACUUUAUCUGCUGUGUUCUUCACAUGUUGUUUCAGUACAUUCUCUAGCGUAAAAUUUCCUUUUCAGUCAAGCAA
rnacentral:rRNA from 1 species